rnacentral:rRNA from 1 species
UGUGGUUUUGGAUGGACUCGCGGCCUAUCAGCUUGUUGGUGAGGUAAUGGCUCACCAAGGCGACGACGGGUAGCCGGCCUGAGAGGGUGACCGGCCACACUGGGACUGAGACACGGCCCAGACUCCUACGGGAGGCAGCAGUGGGGAAUAUUGCACAAUGGGCGCAAGCCUGAUGCAGCGACGCCGCGUGAGGGAUGACGGCCUUCGGGUUGUAAACCUCUUUCAGUAGGGAAGAAGCGAAAGUGACGGUACCUGCAGAAGAAGCGCCGGCUAACUACGUGCCAGCAGCCGCGGUAAUACGUAGGGCGCAAGCGUUAUCCGGAAUUAUUGGGCGUAAAGAGCUCGUAGGCGGUUUGUCGCGUCUGCCGUGAAAGUCCGGGGCUCAACUCCGGAUCUGCGGUGGGUACGGGCAGACUAGAGUGAUGUAGGGGAGACUGGAAUUCCUGGUGUAGCGGUGAAAUGCGCAGAUAUCAGGAGGAACACCGAUGGCGAAGGCAGGUCUCUGGGCAUUAACUGACGCUGAGGAGCGAAAGCAUGGGGAGCGAACAGGAUUAGAUACCCUGGUAGUCCAUGCCGUAAACGUUGGGCACUAGGUGUGGGGGACAUUCC